UCAAAGAUGAAGGCCAGCAGGCUCAGAAAGAGCCCAGGCCGAUCGGCCUGGUGAAGCCCAAGCUGAUCGGCCAGGGGUUUUCUGGCCCUCUCCGACACUUAUUUUUGGCAAGCACUCCUCUAAAAUUACUUAAGGGCUAAGAUUGUGAAGAUAUGGCAAGUAUUACUUCGGGAUCAAAGAGGAAUCGAAGAAGAUCAAGCGAAAAUUUGGAAAGUUAUCAAACAUCAAUCUCAUCUCGAAGUUAUCGACGUGACAGGCCUACAUGCAUACAAAAAUAAGCUUCCAGAACAUCAGAGAAGACUUGGCGAUGAAGUUGGACGCGAGGGGUUAAAAGGAAGGGCCAAGCUGAUCAGCCUGGACCCCCUAGACUGAUCGGCCUGGGACUUUCCUUCGCCCCCUCGUCUUCCAAUUUUUGCCACGUGCUCUCCAGAUUAUAAAUACCGCAAAAAAAUC
rnacentral:lncRNA from 1 species